UUUCUGAUUUCCUAUUUUUUUUAAUAUUGUUAGAAAGAAAUAGGAAGUGAGAAAGU
rnacentral:pre_miRNA from 1 species